rnacentral:snRNA from 1 species
AUACUUACCUGGCAGGGGAGAUCAUGAAGGUGUUUUGCCCAGGGCGAGGCUUAUCCCUUGCACUCCAGAUGUUCUGACCACUGUGAUUUCUCCAAAUGUGGGAAACUGGACCACAUAAAUUGUGGUAGUGGGGAAUUGCGUUUGCACUCGCCUCUG